rnacentral:rRNA from 1 species
CCUACGGGAGGCAGCAGUAAGGAAUAUUGGUCAAUGGGCGGAAGCCUGAACCAGCCAUGCCGCGUGCAGGAAGACGGCCCUACGGGUUGUAAACUGCUUUUAUACGGGAAUAAACCUCGAUACGUGUAUCGAGCUGAAUGUACUGUAAGAAUAAGGAUCGGCUAACUCCGUGCCAGCAGCCGCGGUAAUACGGAGGAUCCAAGCGUUAUCCGGAUUUAUUGGGUUUAAAGGGUGCGUAGGUGGCCUGUUAAGUCAGGGGUGAAAGACGGUAGCUUAACUAUCGCAGUGCCCUUGAUACUGAUGGGCUUGAAUAAACUAGAGGUAGGCGGAAUGUGACAAGUAGCGGUGAAAUGCAUAGAUAUGUCACAGAACACCAAUUGCGAAGGCAGCUUACUAUGGUUUUAUUGACACUGAGGCACGAAAGCGUGGGGAUCAAACAGGAUUAGAUACCCUGGUAGUCCACGCCCUAAACGAUGAAUACUCGAUGUUGGCGAUAUACGGUCAGCGUCUAAGCGAAAGCGUUAAGUAUUCCACCUGGGGAGUACGCCCGCAAGGGUGAAACUCAAAGGAAUUGACGGCGNGAGACGNGCGAGACGACGACGAGGGAGGAGG